rnacentral:lncRNA from 1 species
UUUUUUUUUUUUUGAGAGAGAGAGAGGAAGAGAGAGAAAGUAUGCACACAUACAUGAGGAGAGGAGGGGCAGAGGGAGAGAGAGAGAAAGAGAGAGAGAAUCCUUAAGCAGACACACUGCUGAGCAAAGAGCGUGAUGUAGGGCUUGACCUCACAAUCCUGAGAUCAUGACCGGAGCCAAAAUCAAGAGUCAAACACUUAACCACUUAACCAGCUGAGUCACCCAGGCAACCCCAAGCUCUUCCACCUCUUAAUAUAAAAGCCAAUAUUGCUUUUUAAGGAAUCUUGUAUCAGUUUAUAUUAAAUGGUACAUAAGGCUGCAUGUUUCACCAUACUCCUGAACACAAGGAAUUAAAUAUUCUAAAAUAUUACCAAUGUCAUAUGAAAAGGUUUAUCUUAUUGUUUUAAUGUGCAUUUAAAAAUUUUUUGAGAAAGAUUUUAUAUAUUUAUUCAUGAGAGACACACAGAGAGAAGCAGAGACAUAGGCAGAGGGACAUUCCGCAGGGAGCCUGAUGUGGGACUCGAUCCCAGGACCCCGGGAUCACGACCUGAGCCGAAGGCAGAUGCUCAACUGGUGAGUGACCAGGUGCCCCUGAUGUGCAUUUCUUUUGCUCUUAGUAGGGACAAACAAUUUUAUUUGUCUACUAUAGCAAUUUAACUUGCAUUUUGCUCUGGAAGGGAAUAGGGUUUGAAUGAAUGGGACACAGACAAACAAGGCAAGAAAAAAAAGAGAUGUCCAGAGCCUAGAUGCAAGUGCAUAAAGGAAUCGGCUAAGGAACCUAGGAAGAUUCUGACCUACCUGCUUAUAAAGAGGCCAGGUACUGGCACUUUCUAAAAGCUGUGCAGGGAGCUCGAACAUGGAACUAGGGGUGAGACAGGGCUUUAUCAGGAAGAGCGAGCCUGUGUGGGUGGCCAGGGUGGACUCUAAGGGAGGGUGACGGUGGGACAUGAAGGCACCAGGCUCCUUCCUGCAGGGCUGCUGGUGGUAACAGGCCAUGGAAGUUGCCAAACAAGAAUCCAAGAUAAAACAGGCUACCACAUUGUACCUUUCCUUGUACCACUGAGUCUCGAUUUGGGGCUGAUAAAGCUGCGUUUUAUUGUGUAACUUUCUCUCCACUUGGAGCUGAUAAUUCAGUUUGUGAAUUGUUCUGGUUCCUGCUUUCUUCUUGCUCCAGAGUGAGUUUAGACACUUCUUUGCUCAUAAGCAACUCUGUGAAGUGCUACAAGUAAUGGCUAGCAUGAGGGUUGGAGAUUAUCUGUGGAUUCCAAAUAACCAAUUUUUUCCCCAACCCCUGUUGCCACAAAAAUAACAAAUUAACUUUUAGAAGCUUUUUCUCCUCUUUCCCCUGCCUCAAAUUGAGAUGGGUUAUAGGAAGGGGUGUGUGUGUGUGUGUGUGUGUGCGCGCGCGUGUCCCUGGUGUGUCUCAUUUUGAGUCAGAGUGACUUUAUGGUCCUAGAGGACUACCAACAUCCAGUAGGGCAGCCUCACAUGUGCUCACCUCUGUGGGGAUGGGGGAAAGCUUCCCAGGCUGCCCGUGAAGACAUUACACUCAGCUGCCUCUGACUUCCUGAAAGCUGCCCUGUCAGAGGUUGGCCACCUCAAUCAUAGCACUUUUAAGAUCCUAAGGACACUGCUCCUGGCAUCUGAGGGAGCUCUAGAAUCUUAGCCAGUGUUUUAGAGGUGGCCUGAUGCACAAAGAGAAUAUAAACUCUGAGUCAGGAAAGCUGGUUUGUAGUCCUGCCUUCUGCCACCAAUAGGCCAAAUAACCUUUGAGGAGUCACCUCAUCUCUCUGGGUCUAAUGUUUUUCUCACGUGAACAAUGAAGAUAGUGACUCUCAUCUCUAGUGUGCUGGAAAGGACACAUUCUGACCCUCAGCUGGGCUGGGCACUAGCUCAUGGCCUGGAGUGGUCACUGGUCCUCAAGGAGUCUUACUUUCUCAUAUUCUAUUAUAUGGGGGCUGGCACCCACCAAGCACAAAUGGUAGAAAGGUGUAGGGAUCCCAUAAGUGAAUGUGGGUAAAGUCAUGAGGGAAGUGUGAAUUAAGGAGUGUCAUACUACCGGGGAGAGUAAAUUGGCUUUUCAGUGUAAAUUGGCAUUUCUUCUAAUAUAAGAAUCCACACCAGGAUGAGGUGGCAGGGUGUGUGUGCUGCAGAAUCAGGUGAGCACAGCCUGGAAUACUUUGAGGACAGCCAGAGGGUUCGAGGUUCCAUCAAUGGGUUUUGAAGUAAGAUUGUUCUUCUUUUAAACUCAUGACCUCUUGACAAAAAUACAUCUCCUGUGCUUCUUUAAUGCUGUUUGAAAUGUCAAAAGGUAUGUACCAUCAAGACUAAACUGAAGUCAUCUACAACCCCUCAAAGAGCUGCCCCUUGUUAUCUCACCUUCCCCACUGCUUUAUUGGGCAUCACUGCUCCAGGGUAAGCUCUAGGAUGACAGCAAUAGUUUCCCUCCACGCUUUCGGGUAUCCCAGGAUGGUGUGGUGGUGCAUCUGGACCAAGCUUAAAGUCACAGAAAGCCAGAGCUGUGAGGUUCAUUUGAGGUUUGGAGCAGUUAGUGGCAAGGCACAGGGUCCCCAUGUCUGCCAGGCUGUUAGGGACCAGAUUGGAGCCAGGGUCAUUUAUCUCACUGUCCUGCCCUUUCAUUUGGAUGAAAAGCUCUCAACAUUGAGGCAAAAUCCCUCCUGUGGCUCAAAGUUCCAGUAGCAAUCCUCAGGAGACUCCAGGGGGGUCUCAAGGCUCUCCUGGAUUUGGAGGAAUGAAUGAGUCACUGGGGCAGCCACAAACCCACAAAGAGACUGCCAGUUGUAAAACACUCACAAUUUCACGCCUGCUGGCCCACUUGGUAGAAAUAUUUGUAUGCUUCCUUAACAUGUAAUCUGUUAGAAAGGGGCCACGUCUUUAUCUCUGACAAUUAACACUUUCUAUUAGGGAAAAAAUAAGAGUGGAAUCUGCACUGUUCUUUCCCUUUCUUCCUCCUCAGGCUGAGUGGGGGUUCGUUCACAUGUGCUUGAGGUGGGACAUCUUGUAAACUUUCUCAUACCUGCAAAUAUCUAUUUAUAAGCUGCCCAAGGGUCUUCCCCAGCAAGCCCAGGAAGCCAGAAGCUAGUUUCCCAUAUCAGCUAAGCCCUCAUUUCUUCUCUUGAAUUUAGCUAAGUUGGGUUCUUCUGUAGAAAAAUCUCAAGGAGGGAAGGGUAACAAAAGAGGACAAGGAAAGAACUGAGCUAGAAAUCUCAGCAAGGCAAUACUGUCUCUAAACUGUAGAAUUCUGAUGCUUUAAGCUUCCUGGAACUUAACUUGAAAAGAGACAAGAAAACAUAUCCCUAGAAUCUACUUACUUUUUUGCUCAUUUUUAUUUUAUUUUGGAAUUUACAAAAUGAUCUCUUUUGCACAUAAGUCAAAAUAAUUUGGAAGGUUUUCUAAAUCUCUAAUUGAGUAACCAGAACUCACUGUCCACCAUCCAAGUGCUUUUUUUUUUUUUUUUUUUUUGUCUGGUAAGGGUUCCAUGGACUCUG